GACUUUUGCAGGGCUGUGCCUCCUUUCCUCCCCAGACAAAAUCCAUCACGUCAGCAGUCACAGGGCACCCUGGUUCCCUCUCUGAAUGAACUGUUAAAUGACUAAGCUGGCUCCCAACAGAGGCAGAGCCCAGCAAUAUGCGGCCUGUAAUCUGUCAGAUGAUACAGCAACAGGCCCAGUGAGGGGCCCGACACACCCCCCAGGAGAGUGGAGUCUCUCACUGCAUGUGACGUGGAAGACGCCGAAGAGGUGAGGGAGGCACCAUAUGCUGCGGGCCUGCCAAGGGAGAAUAAACAGCACCGGCAGCCUGGCACAGAGCUCUGGCGGGAACGUCCACCAAGAUCGGUCAGGCACUCUCAUGGCGUCCUCCUGGAUACAGGCUUUUGCUUUUGUUUUUAAUUUUGGAGCAGUGAAGCCGAAAGUGAGGAGUGAGGACAAGGAGAAGACCCAUUUGCUCCUGUUCAUUCAAACAGCAUCUCUUCAUUUUGAAAUUGGCAAGAGGCAGUUCGGGGCUGUGGCAGGUCCUGUACACCACCUGUUGCCUCCCAAGUCACUGUGCCUUUCUGGCUUUCUUUACCUAUGUCCUGUAAAACGCCAGUUAAUAAAUGCUCCAUAUGCAGCACCCGUUGGUUUGCAAACUCCGUAGAAGAACUUCUGAUAAUCCCACAUCUCUGAACUUGAUUUAGGGCAAGAACUCUACAUCUUCAACAUUUUGUAGAGCAUUCCCUGCGAUGUGGAAAAUUCUGCUGGGCUAUUCCCUGAGGACACCUCUACCUUUCGUGUCCAGAAUUGGUGGGUUCUUGGUCUCACUGACUUCAAGAAUGAAGCCGCGGACCCUCGCAGCUCAAGCAUAUCUGAAUCGAGAAAAGCAGACAUGAUUGAAGCGCAUUUAUCUCCACUAAUUAAGAGGCUUAUGCCAGGCUGAGCUGAGAUUGUAACACCAGAUGAGCCUCCAUUUCAUCCCGCUACACCUGGAGAAGCUCCUGUGGGAGGAAGACUCAUGGAGACACUUUAAACUGGAAGCAAGAGACCCCAGGGAAGAGUGUUCUUAGGCAGAGGGAACAUAACAUGCUAACGUGCUAUGAGGGGACAUUGGUGUGCAAGUGGCAAAAAGAGUCCUGUCCCAGCACUGCAAGGGGAAGAUAAAGGCUCGUCAUCUGUGCGUGCGUCCAUCUGAGUGGAACGUGUGUCCCGGGGGCUGCUGCCACCGCGCCGGUCCCUCCUGUAAUCCGAGCCCGUGUCAGAGGACGCGGCGCCUGCAAGGAAGAAGGGUUGCCGCAGGUGUGGCCAGAUCCUCUAGGCAAGAGGUGUGGAUUCAGGUCCUACUAGUCUUACUCCUGAUGAAGCUGGGCAAAUCAGUUGGCUCUGGAGUAAUUAGUAGCCCCUUCCUCACUGACCAUUGCAAGUGCACACUGCAGCCUCAAAACUGAGUGGAGGGCCUCCUUUGGAUGACAUGAGACUGCUCAUCGUCAAGAGAACAAUUGAGUUUCUAUCUGACCUAUCUGAAAGUGGAUAGUUGUGCGACCUCAAGCAAGCCACUUCUUUCUUCUGGAUUUGGAGUUUUGUAAUCCAUAUAGCGAACCCACCCCAGUGACCCUGGCAUCUUGCUCUUUCUCAAACCCUGUAGGAGUCCUCAUGCCUCUGCUUCCAAGGCUCCUUCUAUCAUGUUCCCCUUCCCUCAGAUAUCUGCAGCCUCACUUCUUUAUGCCAAAGCGUGUAUCAUUGUUUAGCCUAUUUUACUUUUUUAAAACUUUAUUUUUAGAGCAGUUUUACAUUUAUGAAAGAUUGCACAAAAAAUAAAGUUCCCCUAUAACCCUUCCUCCCCAUC
rnacentral:lncRNA from 1 species